GACGAACGCUGGCGGCGCGCUUAACACAUGCAAGUCGAACGGAAAGGCCUGCUUUCCCUUGUGGAUUGCGGGUACUCGAGUGGCGAACGGGUGAGUAACACGUGAGUGAUCUGCCCCCAACUUGGGUAUAAGCCUGGGAAACUGGGUCUAAUUCCCGAUAGGACUGCAGGGUGGUGCCUGUGGUGGAAAACGAUUUUCUAGUGGUUGGGGAUGAGCUCGCGGCCUAUCAGCUUGUUGGUGGGGUAAUGGCCUACCAAGGCGGCGACGGGUAGCCGGCCUGAGAGGGUGGACGGCCACAUUGGGACCGGGAUACGGCCCAGACUCCUACGGGAGGCAGCAGUGGGGAAUAUUGCACAAUGGGCGGAAGCCUGAUGCAGCGACGCCGCGUGGGGGAUGACGGCCUUCGGGUUGUAAACUCCUUUCGACCGCGAGGAAGCCACCUGGUUGGAAGGGUGGUGACGGUAGUGGUAGAAGAAGCACCGGCUAACUACGUG
rnacentral:rRNA from 1 species